GCUGCGAGGCAAGUCAGCGGUCAAAAUGUCGGGGCUCAACCCCGGCCUGCCGUUGAAACUGUCCUGCUAGAGUUCGAGUGAGGUAUGCGGAAUGCGUUGUGUAGCGGUGAAAUGCAUAGAUAUGACGCAGAACUCCGAUUGCGAAGGCAGCAUACCAACUCGCGACUGACGCUGAGGCUCGAAAGCGUGGGUAUCGAACAGGAUUAGAUACCCUGGUAGUCCACGCAGUAAACGAUGAAUACUAACUGUUCGGAGGGCGACCUCUGAGUGGUAAAGCGAAAGCGUUAAGUAUUCCACCUGGGGAGUACGCCGGCAACGGUGCAACUCAAAUGAAUUGACGG
rnacentral:rRNA from 1 species